GUGGGGAAUCUUGCGCAAUGGGCGAAAGCCUGACGCAGCAACGCCGCGUGGGGGAUGACGGCUCUCGGGUUGUAAACCCCUUUCAGGAGGGACGAAAAUGACGGUACCUCCAGAAGAAGCCCCGGCCAACUACGUGCCAGCAGCCGCGGUAACACGUAGGGGGCAAGCGUUGUCCGGAUUUAUUGGGCGUAAAGAGCUCGUAGGCUGCUUGGUAAGUUGGGUGUGAAAUUUCGAGGCUCAACCUCGAAACGCCACUCGAUACUGCCAUGGCUUGAGUCCGGUAGAGGAGUGCGGAAUUCCUGGUGUAGCGGUGAAAUGCGCAGAUAUCAGGAGGAACACCUGCGGCGAAGGCGGCACUCUGGGCCGGUACUGACGCUGAGGAGCGAAAGCGUGGGGAUCAAACAGG
rnacentral:rRNA from 1 species